UGGAUUUCAAAGAAUUAAGCAAGUAAAGGUAAAAUUUAUUGAUUUUAGCUUGUGAUCUACCUUUCCUAUGCAUUCUUUUUCAUUUUCCAUGAUUGAGAAACAAGUUUGCAUGAAGAUACCUUUGCUGGCCGGACAUGGGGGGAGGGGUUUUGAUCUUGGAUUUAGCUAGAUUUCAUGUUAUUCUAGUGUUUUUAGUUGGUAGGUGAUGUGUAGCAUAAAAAGCAAACAAGAAAAUUCAUGUUCUUCCAUCACCCUCAUUGGCUGAAUCUUCCUCAUGGUAUGUUGAUGGUGGAUUUGAUUUUAUUUUAAGUGAUUUGGUUAGGAAUUAAUGAUUUAUAGUGUAAAAAUCAAGCAUGAAAAAUCAUAGUGUUUAUGCACCCACCAUGGCCGAAUUUUCCAAGAGAAAAUGUUGAGGAUGAUUUUGCGAUAAUUUGUUAUCUAGCUUAUAUUUGAUGAUUUGGAGUAUUGGAAGUGAAAUGAAUUUAUUUGGAGUUGAAUUGGAUAUUUUGGCCAAUUAACUUGUGUAUAGUGUGAAUUAGGUUAAUACCAUUUCAGCCCCACACACAAUUGAACCUACGUAGAACACCGUAUUUAGAUAAUAAUCCAAGCAUUUCACAUCCCAUUUCAUGCAUGCAUAUAGAGCCUGAAAUAGAUUUAUAAUGACAUGACACAAUAUAUUGAAUUAUUUGUCAUGUAUUGUGUAUAGGUGGUGAGUCUUCUAACAAGGAUAAAGACAUUGUGCCAGAGGACCAAGAAUAGGAGUAUUUCGAACUCCCGAUAUUGUGAGCAAUCUUAUUAUCGUCUUAAUUAUCUAAAGUAGUUUUUAUUUGUUUUUGUGAUUUUAUAGAAAAAUGAGUUUAAAUGAUUAAAUGAAAUGAGUUUUAUAAAUCAUUUUGAAAUUGAAUGAUGAUUUUAGAAAUUGAGUAAUUGGAGACUGUUUGAUUGUGUUGUAAAUUUAUUGUUUGAAUUGAAUGGCUUAUGGUGAUAUUGGCAUGAAUGGCUGAAUUGAAAAUUGUAUUAAAAUUGUAUGAACUGUUUGUUUUGCCUUAACAGGCUGGGUAGUAAUAUAAUUGCCAUGUUAUGUUGUCGAACUUUUAUUGAUUUGGUGGGAUAUUGAUUAGUCAUUGCAGUGGUGGGUUUUCGUGGACUAGCCUAUUAGAGAGGGGCACGGUAAACUCGAUUAUAUUUGACCUUGGUACGAGAGGCGCGGAGGGUAUCUCCUGAGGUAAAACUUUAGAGUUCACUACACGCUAAACCACCACGUAAGGGUGAACUCAGCCAACGCCAAGGAACGAUUGUGCUUUUAAACGUAAAAAUGUGUUUUAUGCGUAUAUGAACUUUUCUUUAACAGCCUUAGCAUACUCGGUUGGAUGCCCCUGCGCAAGGUGUCAUCGAGCACAAGUUUUGGCACGAGUCAAAGUUUUAAGAGAGUCAUAAGCCAUGUUGAUUAUUUGAGUGAAAUGAAUUUAUUUUGUUUAGUUGAAAUGAGUUUGAAACGUUAUGAAUCAUAGUACGGUGAACUAUUUUAUGUUGUCUCAAUUUACUCGACUUUGGAUAUUUUAGAUGAUAUUUGUUUAUUCACUGAGUUUAUAUAAACUCACCACCCUCUUUUUCACCCAUUUCAAGCUCAGGAUAGUCUGUAGAUAGCUGAUUUCGUUGAGGGCUACAGUUGGAUUUGCAUCCUUAAAAAUCAUAAGUUCGCAACCUUCGUUACUUUUGAUCAUUUGGGAGCCCACAUGUCAUUAUAAAUUAAAUUAUACACUCUAACUCACUGUGUUACUGUAUGUAUGAAUUUAUUUUAUUUUUACGCUAUAAAAAUUAUUUGCGGAUACCUGUAUAAAUAUUGUUUUAUAAGAAAAUGAAAUAUUUUAUUUAAUAUUUUUAUUUUAUUCUAAUAGCUAUCAUUUCACUUUAAAUAAAUGUUUUAGACAUCUAAACUUAUUUUUGGCUAUUAAAUAUGUAUCUUUCACUCAUAUACUACAUUUUUAGAUGGUUUUGAAAUUUUUGGAGUAAAAUGACCAAAAUACCCUUGUGAGACGAAAAUUAUUUUUUUAUUGUUUUAGUUUGGAAAUAGCUUAUAAUCUUUUAAAAUAUGAUAUUAGCAACUGUUGCUCGCAGGGGAGGUGAGAAAACUGAUAUUAAACCUUGUGGGGUUUCGGUGGGUAUUCGGGUAAUGAAUGUCUAUCAGGACAUCGCGGUGGUUGUCACGGGCUCGAGGAGAGUACUGGGUCAUGACAUUAUAUUCUUAAUAGAGUCUCAAUAAGACCCUUGAUUUCGAAGACUCCAUAUGAACUUUAUAAAGGUAGGAAACCAAAUAUUUCUCACUUUAGGAGCUUUGGUUGUAAAAGCUUUGUAUUGAACAAUGGAAAACAGCCCCUAGGGAGUUUGAUGCAAAGAGUGAUGAAGCAAUAUUUUUAGGAUAUGCUUUAAACUCAAAGGCCUAUAGAGUUUUUAACAAAAAGACCUUGACUGUUGAAGAAUCAAUUCAUGUAGUUUUUGAUGAGUCAAAUGCAUUGCAAAAAGAAGUUCAUGAUGAUGAUGAUGAUGUAGAAGUCCUAGAAAAACAAAUGGAGGAAAUGAGCUUAGAAAACAACAAAAAUAAUGAAGAAAGCUCACCUAGAAGAGAAGAUGAAACUCCACUUUUGAAAAAUCUGUAAAGAGCAGAAAAUCAGCAUGAUGAUCUACCAAGGAGUUGGAGAUUUGUGAGAGAUCACCCACAAGACCAAAUAAUUGGUGAGAUUUCUCAAGGAGUUAAAAUUAGGAAAUCAACUAGAUAAACUUGUGAGUUUUCAGCUUUUAUAUCUUAAAUUGAACCUAAAAACUUUGAAGAAGCUAAAAAAGAGGAAAGUUGGAUAAUGGCCAUGUAAGAAGAAUUUGAUCAAUUCACAAGGAGUCAUGUAUGGUCAUUGGUACCUAGACCUUCAAAUCACCCUAUUGUUGGUACAAAAUGGGUGUUUAGAAAUAAGGUAGAUGAGCAAGAAAAUGUAGUUAGAAAUAAAGCUAGGUUGGUAACAAAUGGAUGCAACCAAGAAGAAGGAAUAGAUUAUGAUGAAACUUUUGCUCCGGUUGCUAGGAUUGAAGCUAUAAGGUUGUUGCUAGCUUUUACAUGUUUCAUGAAUUUUAAAUUGUUCCAAAUGGAUGUAAAAAGUGCAUUCUUAAAUGGAUUAAUUCAAGAGGAAGUAUAUGUAGAACAACCACCUGGUUUUGAAAACUUUGAAAAAUCUAAUCAUAUUUUCAAACUUCAUAAAGCCUUGUAUGAAUUGAAACAAGCUCCUAGAGCUUGGUAUGAAAGGCUUUCAAAAUUUCUAGUUGAGAAAGGGUAUGAUAGAGGCAGCAUCGAUACUACAUUGUUCAUUAAGAGAUAUCUAAAUAAUUUAAUUGUUGUGCAAAUAUAUGUGGAUGAUAUUGUAUUUGGUGCAACUAAUGAAGCUUUAUGGAAGAAGUUUGCAAAGGAAAUGCAGGGUGAAUUUGAAAUGAGCAUGAUAGGAGAGUUGAAGUACUUCCUUGGUCUUCAAAUCAAACAAAGUGAGGAAGAAAUCUUCAUCAACCAAGAAAGAUACACUCAUGAUAUGCUUAAGAAAUUUGAUAUGCUGAAGCUGAAAUCAAUUUCUACACCAAUGAGUCCAUCCACCAAACUCGACUUAGAUGAAAAAGGUAAGGAUGUAGAUCAAAGCUCUAUAAAAGGUAUGAUCGACUCUCUUCUCUACUUAACAACAAGUAGACCAGAUAUUCAGUUUAGUGUGUGCUUGUGUGCUAGAUUUCAGUCACAACCUAAAGAAUCACACCUAACUGCCAUUAAGAGAAUUUUUAGAUACCUCAUAGACACUCAAGAACUAGAAAUAUGGUACUCUAGAGACUCAACUCUUAACUUAGUUGGAUAUUCAGAUGCUGACUUUGCUGGUAGUAGAACUGAUAGGAAGAGCACUAGUGGAACAUGCCAAUUUUUAAGAAGGAUGCUUGUGUCUUGGUCCAGCAAAAAGCAAAACUUAGUGGCACUGUCUACAGCAGAGGCUGAAUAUGUAUCAUUAGGAAGCUGCUGUGCACAAAUCCUUUGGAUCAAGCAACAAUUAAAAUACUAUGGAAUAACAAUGCAUAAUGUACCAAUUUACUGUGAUAACACAAGUGCAAUCAAUAUAUCAAAAAAUCCUAUGCAGCACUCUAGGACAAAACACAUUGAGAUUAGACACCAUUUUAUUAGAGACCAUGUGAUGAAAAAUGAUAUUAAGAUAGAAUUUGUGAAUACUUUACAUCAAUUAGCAGACAUUUUUACCAAACCUUUGAGUGAAGAUAAAUUUUGUGAGAUUAGAAGAAAUUUAGGGAUGAUUAGUGUGAAGGAAUUAUAAGAAAACCUUAAGCUCUCACAUAGAAAACAAACUGUUUUCAAUCAACUAAGGAUUUCUCAAUCAACUAAGAGUAGUCUAACAGCCUUAAAUAAUAAGACUUAGUGAGUUUUAGAGAAAGAAGAGUAAAAUAUGGGUUGACCGGGUCCAAAAGGAAUAAAGGAAAAACUGUCAAAGGUAAAUAACCAAAUUUUUAGAGGGAAGUUUGAAAUUAUAAAGAAAUGAAAUAGGGCAGCACUUAAAAGGAAGGUGAAGAGUUUUUUUUAUAAUAACUGUUGACUGCCUCUCUUUCUCUCUCCCUUGAAACCCGUUGCUCUAAAAACAAAAACUAAAUCUCCCUGUUUGCCUCUGAAACUGACUCAAACCCUCAGAAAUUUUUGCAACUAACAUGGUUAGAACAUCUCAGAGCAAAGAGAUAUCAGAAAAGAAGAAAGGGAAAAGGCUAAUGGAGGAAGAAUCAGAAACUAAAAAUGUGAAAAAGAAACUGAAAAUCAUGGCUAGUUCAAUAAAAGAUAUAUCCGAGAAACUUAGAGAAAAGAAGAAAAAACUGGCAAGAAAAAGGAAAUAAAGCCCUCACUCCACAAAGGUACCAGAUAUUCCUCUUCAAAAUUUAGGAAUAAGUUGCAUGAGUAUAGAUUCAAGAAUAUCAAGAAUGCACCAAUCUCUUGUGAAAAAUUCAUUGACUGGAAUAGUUUUAACAAAAAUGUAGAAAUCCAAACUAAUCUAUUUGAGUACUUUGAUGAACUAAAACUAAAAGGCUACAGCAUAUUUAAGAAUAGGUUUUCAGUCCAGGUUUGGUCAAAGAGUUUUAUUUUGGAAUUGCUUUGAAAGGAAAGGAAUUAAUAGAUUCUGAUGAUUAUGUAGAAGAUGGUUUGAAUGUUUAUCUAAAUGGAAAAGAGUUUGUUAUGAUUACUGAGGAUUUAAGGAACCUGUUGAAAAUGGAAGAUAAAAUCACUGAGUUGGAAAACAAGUUGAAGGAGAAGGAAAACAUGCCAUCUGAACCUGUGGCUGCAGAUAGCUCUGCCACAUUCAGCACUGCACCUACAUAAUAAGGUGCUGAAAAUUCAACUAAGUCAGUAGAAAAAUCUGCUCCUCAUGUUGGAAGUUCUAGCAUUUAGGCUGAAAGUUCCAUUUAUAAAUCUGUCUGUCCUACUCUACAAACUAAAGACUCUCCCAAAGGGGUUGAUCAACCAGCCAAGACAACUUCCCCUGAACCUCAAAGCAAAAAUGAUACAGAGACAAAGAAACACCAGGCCUCUCCUCCAAACUCAAAGGAAGUUUCCAUCAUGGAUAUCUUCCACCAAAUGGUUAAAGAGGGAGAAGCUGAGAAGGACACUGCUAGGACAAAAACUCAAAAAGAUGGUGAAGGUGUAGGAAAAGGAAAGAAAUCUGCAUCAGUUGCCAGAGUAAAGACAAAAGUAGGGAAAGCCAAAGCCACUGCAGCACCACCAACUAAGGCAAAACGACCAACCAAAGGCAAGAAGACUAUGGCAACCAAGACAGUUUUUCUCAAAAGAAGAAAGUCUUCUAAGUUGGCAGAGAAAUCCAGACCAAUUUCAGCCUCCUCUCCAAUCCCUGUCUCAGAUAAGUCCUUACUAGAACCUUCUCCAAAACAUUCAUUACCUCUCCGAGAGCUCUCUCAUUUUCCUAUUAACCCUUUCUACAACACUAAGUCCUCACCCUCUAACUCAUCAGAUGAAUAAAAGCCCAUCCCUUUUAUGCUGACAAAAAGGGGAGUAGAAUAGAAUGGGUACAGCAACUAGGAACCAAAGAAUAAAAAAAAAAUGUUAGGGUAGAGGAACCAGGAAGGAACCUAGGAAAGAAAAAAAAAAAAGACAGAAUCAAAGAUGUAUGAACUUAGAAAAAUAGGAGAUAUGAAGCAAAAAUAGUCCAAGGGCAGUUUCGAAACACUUGUUGGUUAACUAUUAUUUGUGCCAUGGUGGCACUUAAACACUCAGUUUUAAUUCUAUUAUUUAUAUGGUUGUAUGUGAAAAAUGAAUGCUGAUAUAACUAUGUUGCUUAAUUGCUAAAAAUUGAAGUCUGCUGAUAUUUUGGUAUUUUGAUUGUCAUGAACAAAAUUUGCUAGUGCCAUGUUGAUAUUGAUGCACAUGUUGAUAAAUGAUUUUUGUUAUGGCAUUGUGGAUAAUUUCUGUUUGAAAAUAGAUAUAAAUGGUAUGGAUAAUAUAUCAAUUGAGACAUGAAUGAUGUGAACAAAAUCUGAAAUCAAUAAAAUGUUGACAGCUGUUGGAACAUUGAUGAAAAUCUGUCAACACUUAAAGCUGAAAGUUUAAUGAUAAUAUGCCAAUACUUACUUGCUACAAAUCACUCUAUGUUGUUGAACAUAUGUAUACUCUAAAUAUACAAUAUCAUUUUCUAUAUGAUGAGAAUAAAAUUGGCUAAAAUAAAAUAAGCAAAAUAUGCACAUUAAGGGGGAGCUUAUACUUAGGGGGAGCAAUCCUCAGUUUUGCAAAAAACUAAAUUAAAAUGACACUAUGCUAUUAAUCAAGGAGUGUUUUGUCAUCAUCAAAAAAGGGGAGAUUGUUGGCUCCAUUAGUUUUUGAUGAUAAUAAAACAUUCCCAUUUUUGUGUGUCUAAUACCUUUACUUGAGUGUGCAGGAAAGUAAUUUGUGAAAUUAAUUUAUUGACUCUUCAAAGAGUAUUUUUGAAAGAAAAAGAGGGAUAAAAUAAACAAGAUGUAACUAAAUAACAAGGAGGAAGCUUAUUGGUGAAACAAGGAAGAACAUUGGUUGACCAAAUUUCAAAUUGGAGAAAUGGUGAGCUAAAGAGUUUGAGAAACAAAAUCAAUUUAGUCAACCAAGUCAGUCGACUAAGUGCUCUCUGCCAAAAUCUACAAACCAGAAACAGAACCAACUUAGUUAACCAAGUUAUUUGACUAAGAGCUCUCUGUCUGCAAGUUGAACCAGAGCACUAUAAGAGAGAUUAAUGGCUAAAACUCAUCCUCAAUUGUUUCCAACGGAUAUAAACUGCUAAACUGCCAUCAGAGUUGCAUCUCCAAGUAUAAAAGGGUCUUCCAACAAUAAAAAAGAAGUUUUUUGAAGCCUUGAAUGAGUUUUGAGCUAUAGAAAGAAGAAAACUCAGAAAAGCUUCACUGCACUUAAACGCCUACUCUUUGCAUUUGUAUUUAGCACUUAAUCUUGUACCAAUCAGAUCAACAAGUGAACAUAGGUACUUUUUUUUACUACUUCUCUUGUAUUCUUAGAGUGAGGGAGUUAUUCUAAGGGGUUGUUCAAGCUUGGGAUAGCUUGAUUGUUAAAGGUUGUGGUUGAGCCUUGAAAAACCACAUAGGGUUUUAGUUGAGCCCGUGAAAAACUAGUGUAAAAGGUUUUUGGCUAAGCUUGGUAAAAGCCAUUGUAAAGCUUGGUGAAAGCUUGUAAAUUUCACCGGUCCAUAGUGGAUUUGUGGGAAAAUCCUUGGUUGGAUAAUCUAGGUAGUGGAUGUAGGUCUUGGACCGAACCACUAUAAAUUGUUGUGCAUUGUAUACUCUGUUUUUAUGUUCUUUGUUCUGGAAAUUUGUUUCCAAUCUUGUCAAGAGUCGAUUUGUGCUAUUCACCCCCCUCUAGCACAUAUUAUAGGGACCAACAAUCAUCAUUUGGUAUCGCAUUGCCGGUGAACAUGCACAUGCCCAUCUGUCAGGCUCUAUUCUCAUAAGGUCAGCAUGAGCUCCCGCGUGAAUCUGGUUUAGCUAGUUCAUAUGUCUGUUGAAAUCGAAAACCUUAUAGCAAUCUCGAGCAAGGGUGAAAAUCAUACAAACGUCGUUACACUUGAACUUGUUUUUUAAAUUUUUGAAGUGGUAACCGCAUAAACCUUGGUGCACUUCUGGGUAUACAUUUUGGAUUACUUUCUUAAUGCCGAGAUGCUGAUCAGAAAUGAACAUAGUGUUUUCAGGACAACCAACCGCAUCACGCAGCUUACUAAGAAACCACGUCCAUGAGUCUUCGUCCUCAACAUGGCCGACGCCAAAUGCAACUGGAUAUACGCACUCGUUCGCAUCUUUGCAUAUAGUGACAAACAAAACACUCUUGAACCUGCCUUUCAGAUGUAUCGCAUCAAUUGCAACCGUAGGACGCAUUACAUCCCUAAACCCCUAAAUACAAGCCCUAUAUGACCAGAAAUAAUAUUUGAAUCUUUUUGCCUCAUCAGUAGCCACUGCAGUCACUGUGCCAAGAUUUUCUUGUUCCAACAUAUAAAAAUACGAGGGUAGUAGUUGAAAUGACUCUUUCGGUGGGUCGAAAACAAGCCUCUUUGAAUACUCCUUCACUUGCCAAGCCUUACCAUACAAGCAUUCCAAUCCCCACUGAACCCUCAUCUCACAAAUUAUGUCCUUAGGUCUUAAUGCUGCUCCAUUAGCCCGAAGCUUCUGUGACAUAAGUUCACCAAUUAUCUUCGCACUCGUAGUACAGGUGUGUACUUUAUGGAACGUCCGAACUUAUCAAUAUUCUCCUCUGUCAGGUAACUUCGUUGCACGCACACUGAACUUGCAUGCCUUGUCCUUGCAACCAACUUCGUAACUACCUUUACAUGACCUUUUUAUUUUUAUUGCAAACUUCUCUUUUAUAACCAACAUGUUCAAAGCUCGUUUCAACUCGGCCUUCGACGAAAGCAUUUUUCCUUUGUAUAAGUGAUCAUCGACAUAUGUCGGCUCCUUAGUGGAAAUUGUUUGGAAGGAGAACCUUUCUGCACUUGAAAUUAGCCACGUACGAGAUAUCCUUGCAUUUCCCCUUUCCUGAUAACUGUCAUCGAGCAAUGUAUCAAGAGAACGAAAUCUCGUUCUCACUAGUGAUGGGGUUAUUGUAUAUGGGGUCAUCACACUGAACAUUUCCUACAUCAACACCUCCAACAGGUUCUGUUUCACCUUCAACAUGUCACAACCCAAAGUCCGGGCUAUGACCGACGUAUGGGCCUAAUGGGCAUAGCCCACUAAGCCCAAGCAAGCCUAUUUAUGCAAUCCCGAUCAUCAUUCCAAACCAUCAUUUCUCAAACCCAUAUUGUAAUUCUCAACUAAAAAUAUUUCAAUAACACUUUAUAGUAACCUAAUACUCACAAUUGUAGUAUGCUAACAUAGUAUCACUCAUUUGCCACCUUUCAGUGGCUUCAGUAAUCAAAUAUACAUAUUUGAUUUUUAACAUGAAUCUUAGUGGUCUUCAUUACUUAUACAUGUAUACAAGCAUAAAACUCUUGACCAUCAGCGGAGUGACUCUAGGUGAAGAUACAACUACUGAGAUGCUAUAGUACCUACCAAGAAGGCGAGCAUACAUGGACAACUCAAUCUAGGUCCCAACUGCCUCUAAAUCUGAAAACAUGAAGUUUAAAAACGCGAGUAUAAAACUCAAUGAGUGAACAUAAGAAGGGAACAAACAAUCGAUAGGAAGAAUUUGAAAAUCAUGAUGCACUUGUUUCAAAAACAAUGCAAUCGAUUUAAUUUUAUCACUAAAAACACCUCUUUUCAAACUUUGAUUAAUAACCUCAUAGUAUUGCAAAAACCCAUGAUCAAUCCAUGAAGUUAAAUGGGUGAAAAAUAUGUCCAAAAUCAAGCAAGGUAGCAAGCAUGGCAGCAAGUUUCUCGCUGCAACGAGAAACAAUGUCAGUUUGCAUGUGUUUCAGUUUUUCUAGAGUAUCUCCCAUUAUAGAAGUCCAAUUGACCUGAUUUUUAAACCAUUAGAAACCUAAGAUGCAGGGAUACAACUUUUAUGUUUACCACUUUUCCCAUUUCAGAUAGGAAGAUGGUCAAAAUCUUUAUCGAAGUGAAAGCAUUAUACUAGAACCUGAGAGUUUCUCGCUGCAGUAAAAAUGAAUCUCACUGCAGCGAGAAACACAACAUUUUUAUUGAAAUGAGUCUUAUUACAUCAAAAGCCAUUUUCUUGUCGACAUGAAAAGCAAUUUAGGAGCAAUUAACAAUGCCAACACAUAAGACAAUCACAAUUAUUUUCAUAAACUUUCUAUAACAUAUAUAUAUAUAUAUAUUUGCAUAUACAUACUUCAUCAUGCAUACCAUCUCGCCACACUUAGCUCAUGUGCAUCCCCCCACAUCGUGCACAUAGCUAGAGUCAUCAUGUGCAUCCCCCACAUCGUGCACAAGCAAUAUCAUCGUGUGCGUCCCCCCACAUCGGGCACAAGUAAUAUCAUCAUCCACACUCCCAUACCCCGUCAUCACUGACAUGUGCAUCCCCCCACAUCGUGCACACGCACGGUUAUAAUUAUCACACAAUAUCAACUAUCAAUGCACAACAUAUAUAUAUACCAACAUAAUGUAGUGGUACAUGAAUCCAUAACAACCACAUGUCACAACAUAGAGACAAUUUAUUAAGGGUUUGUUCCCAUGCAUAAUUUAAUGAAAAGCCAAGUAAAAUCAUUUAAAUGCUUCAUCCCAAAACAUAUGUAUUUCCCAAAAACACUUUGAUGCAAGUUCACUCAUCAAUAUUUGUUGAAUCUUUAAUUGACUCUAACUUUGAUUAUUGCUUCAAAUGGACAUGUGAGGCCUCAUUGGAACCUAUUGUCACACACAACAUCACAACCAACCCAAAUUGGCAUUAAUAUAAUUCCAAAAGCUCUUUCGUAAAUCAAGUUCCACUAGUUAUUCCUAACUAGCUUCCAAUUGCCAUUAAAUGGCUAUCUAUUCUUUCUACUCUAGUAACUCUAGAAAUAAAUAAACAAACCUCAAUAAUAAAACAACUCACAACUUCAAUUACUAGCCAUUAUCAAUAACCUAAAAUCAAUCCUCAUUUAUUACUCACCUUGGUGGAUUUGUAGUUGAAUUCCUUCUUAAGAAUACUCAAGCUAUCAUAAAGAGUCUCUCUUUUUCUCUCUCUUUAAAAUUUUUAACUAGUGAGAGAAAGUGUUGAACAAAGACUUUUUAAAGGUUUUAAGGUGAGAAAGUGAAAGAGAACAAAAGGUUCCAUGAAAAAGUGCUUAAAUGCAUGAAAAUUGAAGCUAGAGAGAGAAAGUUAUGGAAGCUUUAUGGGAGGCUCCCAUGGAGAUGAAGAAACGUGAGAUGGGAAGGAAGAAGAAAUGGCUGGAAACUACUGGAAAUUGCUGGAGCUUUAGAUAUUUAUAUCUAAAGUUUAUCCAUUUCUCACUUAAAUUACCAAAAUGCCCUUAACGUGGUGACUUUGUCUUCCUCUCAUCCUUUGUGCAACCUUUUACUCUUUUGACACUAGGGCAAGGUCCAUAAUAGUCUAUAAAUACUCGAGUUCACGAAAACAUAAAAAUUUAGACUCGAGAUGCAAAAUGACCAUUUUGCCUUUACACAAAAAUUAUCAUUAUUUUUAUCUUUUUCAUUUAUUGACCAUCAUAAACAUCAUUUAUUCAUUCCUUAGGCUUAUUUAGACCUUAAUAGCAUCAAAAAAAAAACACCUACUCGUAGGAGCUCAUCAAGAAAAAUUACAAAAUUACCCCUAGUCCGUAUUAUCGCGUCUACUUCUAGUUAUGUGUUUAUGGAGGUGAGAUUUCACAGGUUCACUUUUGAAUUACCCUUUUUAACUCGGUAAUUAACCUCAAUUGUCAUCCAUAAACUUUAUUAGCCACCGUAUCAAAAUACGGGAUACUACACAACGUUAUUGUAAAUUAGAAUAUCACUGUCAUAAAGCCAGUCAUUGUCUGAACUGUCAUCAUGCCAUUGUUCAAGCCCAUCAUCUGAAUUGUCAUCAAAUCUAUCUUCACUGGCAACGAACAAAUCCUCAUUUCCCUCAUCAAAUGUAGAAUUAUCUUCCAACGUCGCAGUGUCACCCUCCAACCUCACAUUGUUGUCCUUAGGUGUCGUAUUCUCAUUUGACAAUGGCAUUACACACUCUAUAGUUUCACCCGAUCGUUGCAUUUGUUAGACAGAAGCAAGUGAUUGGUUCGAUGCACAUCUUGAUCGAAAUUGUACAGCCAACUGUUCUGUGAAUGUCGUCUGUCUACCAGGCUGCACAAACUCUUGUGCAUACCUCAAUUGCCAUUGUUAUGGGUUACGGACCGAAUGUUGUGGUAUAUGUGAAGCAUUGAAAAUCUCAUUUUGAUUGAGCUGAUUACCAUGUUCUUCAACUUCUUCAUGUGACAUAACAUUUGUUUGGCGUCCCUUAAUGCUGACAUACACAGUCGGAACAUUCCUCUGUUCUAGCAGAAUUAAUGCAACAUCCUCAUCGUCCUUGAUAAUUGGCCGUGAUAGCUUUCCGAGUAUACUGAUCAAUGCAUGUAACUCAAUCUCAUCAAUUUUUUUGUUUACCCCAACAACAUCUUCAACCAGCUUCAUCAAGCCCGCAAAUGACAAAUCACUCAUAAUCCCCCGCAUUCGUGACUCACCACCCAUGUAGAUGCCAUCCACCCACUGACCAUCGUGUCUUAUCACAAGUUGCCCAAUUGGAACCCCACUAAAAUUUUGAAAGAAUAAAAAAUUUGUCAAUCAUUUUACACAAUGCAUGCUGUGUUCAAAAUUUGUUGUAAAAUGAGGUAACAUGCAAUGCAUAUAAUGUAAAAUGUGGUAACACGCCAUGCAUAUAACGUAAAAUAUGGUAACACGCCAUGCAUAUAACCAAUGUCGUGACACACUAAAAUAACGUUAACACAUGUUAUAGAUGCAUGGCGUGUAACAACUCUGGGCAAUGUUUCUAAUCCAUGUUCUAAUUUACACCAAAUGUUUCAAAAAUUUAAGUGCGUUGCAGCAAUAAACCCAAUAACAGGUACCUUGAUGUCAUCUCUGCUAUAGGGUCUGUUAAUCUACGACAAUUUAGCCAGAUGUCGAGAGAUAGACUACAGCCUGAUGAUGAUGGUGCUCAACAAAGAGUUGAUAGAGCUCAUACAGUCCAAAGAUCUGAGAGAGCUUACGACAAUGGUGCUCAACACAAAGUUGGCAGAGUUGAGAUAGUUUAGAGAGUUGAGAGAAAAAGAUGACCAAGCUCAAACAGUUGAGCAUUUAUUUGAAACGAUAUUUUUAAGGGCAUUUUGGUCUACUCAUGCUUCUUUUUGGCUAGAAACAGAUAACUUUAUAUGGGUGAUUUCUGAAAUCACUUUAUCACGAAGUCCUUUUUUCACAAUUUCCUUUUAAUAUACUUAUUAUAUAUUAAUUAAUAUUAUCAAAUGUAUAAUACUAUUUUGUUGUUUAUAUAAUAUAUGUUGUUUAUUAGUUAUUAAAUAAGUAUAUUAUUUGUUAAAUGUAAAUUACUUCAAUAUCAAUAUAUAGAAGUUAUAUAUUUAUAUUACCUAGUAUAUUAUUUAAUUUAAAUUUAUUGUCAAUUCUUUUUAAUUUAUAUUAACUAAUAUUAGUAUACAUCAAGUAUUAUUAUUUUUGUAUACCUUAUAUGGUUUUAUAUUAUAUCAUACUUAUCAAUUCAAUUAUUAAAAUUAUAAUAUGAAACUAAUCGUCAAGAAUGACGCACUUACUCCAAUUUAGAAUUAUCUUACAUAAAUAUAAUCAAUGUGAAGCAUAAUGUUAUAUUAUUUUAUUAUAUACAUAUUAAUGACACAAAUUAUAUGUUAUAAUAUUAUAUGUAUAUAUUUCAAAGUUUGUAUAACUAAUAACUAAUUGCAAACAAUAUGUUAUAAUAAUUACUAAUAAAGUUAUUAAAUGUAUUCAUAUGAAUAAAAUUUAUUAUAAGCUAACAUAUAAAAUAUAGGUGUAAUAAUUAUAACAUAGUAAUAUAUAUGUAAGAUACUUAAUAUCUCAUAUAUAUAUAUAUAUAAACUUAUAAAGUUAUAUAACUUAAAAUAGAUAAUAGUUAAUUUCAUAUUAAUACAGGUUUAUAUGUAGUUAGAUAUAUAUAUAUAUAUAAUUUGUAUACAUAUAAUAAACUAAUAUAUUUUAAAUAUAUUAUACUAAUUAUAAGUUUAUUAUAAAUAUCAGUUUGCUUAUAAUUUAUAUUAACUAAUAUUAGUAUGUUUCUAAACUAUUAUUAGUUUUUGUUUAAUUGAUUAUUAUAUCUUAUCAUGUAUUUUUAUAAAAUUAACAAAUUAAUUUUGUUCUUUUUAUAAAUUUUUUAAUGUUAUAAAAUUAAUGAAUUUUGAAUCAUUAAUUUAUAAUGUAUGAUUCAAUAAAGUUUUAAAAAAUCUAUAAAAAUAAUCAAAGGAAAACAUACUUAAACGUUUAAAUAUUAUAAACUUCAAUAUGUAUAUAUUUGCUUUUAUUAAUAUCUUUUUUUAUAAAAGAUUAAUAAAAUUUAUAAAAGGUAUAAAAUAUUUUUGGGAAAAAAUUAAAAAAAAAUCUGUUUCCAACAAAAUUUUCCAACGGAAUCUUCCGUUGGAAAAUUUCAGUUGGUAAUCACUUUUUCCAACAGAAAAUUUUGUUGGAAAAUUUAGCGGGCUUUAAAAUAUUUUGAGUCCUUUAACUUUCUGAUAGAUUUCCAACAGAUAGUUUUUUGUUGAAAAAUUCCAACGAAAAUCCGUUGGAAAAUCCGUCGGAAUAGGUGGUGGGUGGAAUUUUUUUGCGAGCCAAAAAAUUCUCCAACGGAUUUCCAACAAAAAAAUUUCGUUGAAAAAUUUCCAUUGGAAAUCCGUUAGAAAUUCGUCGGAAAAAUUAUAACAACUUUUUGUUCAAAUUUCGUUGGAAAUCCGUUGGAAAUUUCCAACAAAAUUUUUUCCGUUGGAAAAAAGCUGUUUUCUUGUGGUGGGUCAUCCACUACAUUUCUACAUCAACACAAUUAUAUAAACAGCAUCACUCCAUUAUAGAACUUCUCAACAUACUGUGUGGAUCGUUAUACAUACAUUCAUCACAUACACACUGUCACACAAUCAUGGAACUUCUUAACAUGAAGUGUGAUUUCUAUCUCAUAUCAUAGCAAUAUUCCCAUUUAUACAUCUCAUUUGUGGUUCAGCACACUUUCCGUGCCUAUAACUCUUUUGGUCCGUGCACCAUAUUAUCAACAUUAUUUCACACCCAUUUCUAGGGCUUAACAUAAUAUUCACAGUGAUCAAACAUGAAUAUAUCAAUACUUAUUACAUAAAUAAAUACCAUUUAAAUAGUGCACCCAAGCAUUUAGCUUAUUGGUUGAUGCAUGACCCCUUGCCUAAAAAGUAUGGUUCGAAUCUCCCUUCUCCUAAUUAUAAAAAAAAAUAAUAAUAAAAAAAGGUACUAUGUAAGUAGUAACAUUAAAAGACUUGACUCAAUACACUACGAAGUAUAGUGAUGUUGAAGGGCUAGAAGGAAAGCACUGUUACACCUACCAAGUAUGAGAUAAGGUACUUUUUCACAAGACACCUAACCAAGUGAGCUAUUGAUCUGUAAAACAAAAAUAAAGGAAAAUAGUUGGUGAGUCACAAAGACUCCAUGAGUGGAUACGAGGAAAGGGAUAAGCCAAGGGAAAGAGUUUUUUCAAUAAACCAUACUUUGUAAAAAAAACAUGAUAUUCACAAAUAUCCAUAUAAAUCUUUUCAAAUGUCAAUAAUCUAAUUUCAACAUUUUUCCAUAAACACAUUGAAAUUCAUUAUGCAUAAAAGAAUUAAUAAGCAUUUGACCUCUACUUACAAAACAUUUUCAAGGAGAAAAACAAGAGAGUUCAUAUCAAUGAUGUCACGACCCAAAUUCUGGGCCAUGACCUACGCAUGGGCCCAGUGGACAUAGCCCACUAAGCCCAAGCAAGCCUAUUUACAUAAUCCCGUUCACUAUCCCAUCAAUUUUUCAUCACCAUUACUAGACCACCAUUUGUAAUUUGCAACUAGACGUAUUUUCAUAAUACAACAUAGAUAUCAAAAUUUACUUUUGUAUGAUCUCAAAUAAGGUUAUUCAUAGCCAUCUCAUAAUGGCACCAUCAUUCCAAACUAUACAAGCAUCGUUAGCAAAGUGAUUCCUAGCAAUUUACAUUUAAUGUAUAUGUACUCAUAUAAAAGACUUCUGACGACCAGCAGAGUGACUUUGGUGAAGGUACGGCUAUCGAAUGCCAUGAUACCUACCAAUAGUGAAUGUAAGUGGACGCCUUAGUCUCGGUCCCAACUAUCUACAAAUCUGAAAACAUGAAAUUUAAAAGAGUGAGUAUAAACUCAGUGAGUGAACAUAAGAAGGGAACAAGCAAUGACAAGGAAUGUUUUAGAAAACAUGAUGCACUUACAAUAAACCAUGCAAUUUAGUCUAAUUUUUUAGUUAAAACCCCUCAUUUCAAACUUUGAAUGUUUAAUCCCUUAAUGUUACAAGAUCCAUGAUGAACCAUAAAGUUGAAUAGAAUGAAAAUUUCAGUAAUGACCAAGCAAGACAAACAAAUAGAGGGUUUUCUCGCUGUAGCAAAAAGGCAUUCUUUGUUUGCAUAUGCUUCGGUUUUUCAAGUAUAUCUCCCACUACAGAAGUCAAAUUGACAUGAUUUUAUGGUCAUUAGAAAGCUAAGAGGCUAGGCUACAACUUUGAUGUUAACCAUUUUGCCUAGUUCUGAACGAAAGGUGGUCAAAAUCAUUUUCAAAGUGAAAGCUCUGUACCAAAAUUUCGGAACCACUCGAGAGUUUCUCGCUGCAACGAGAAGCUUCAGGAAAUUUCUCGCUGCAGUGAGAACCAGGCCAAUGUAACCCCCCCCAACCCGAGAGUUUCUCGCUGCAGUGAGAAACAGAGCAAUUUAGUUAAAAGGGGUAUUGUUACAUCAAAAAGUCAUUUUCUUGCGAAAAUGAAAAGCAAUUUGGGAGCAAUUAACAAUGCCAACAUACAACACAAUCACAAUUAUUUUCAUGAACUUUCUAUAACAUAUAUACAUAUAUAUAUGUAUAUACAUACAUCAUCAUGCAUACCAUUUCACCACACUUAGCUCAUGUGCACUCCCUACACACACAAUGCAAUAUCAUCAUCAUGUGCACUCCCUACUCGCAAAUAGUCGGGUCAUCAUCAGCUCAAGUGCACUCCCACACAGCACAUAGCUGGGUCAUCAUUAUCACACAAAAGAAGCAUCCAAAGCAUAAUAUACAUAUCAAUAUAAUGUGAUAACGCAUGAACUAUUCAUAUUGCACAUUUCACAAGAUAGAAACAUUUCAUCAAGGGCUUGUUCCCCAAGUAUAUUUUUUAAAGCAAAAACAAAUUAAACUUUCAAAUGACUUAUUUAAACAUGUAGGCACUUCCCAAAACAUUUUGAAAUGCAUGUUUACUCACCGGUAUUUUUUAAAUCUUAGAUCGACUCUAACUUCUACUAAUGCUCCGAAUGGAGAUGUGGGGUCUCGUUGGAAUCUAUCACACACAAUGGCAUCACAAAUCAACUUAAUUAACAUAACCAUAAUUCUGAAAGCUAUCUCUUAAAUCAUGUUCUACCAGUUAUUCCUAACUAGCUUCCAAUUGCCAUUAAGCAGCUAUUUACUUUCACUAUUCUACUCACACUAAAGAUGAAUACAUAAUCCUCAACUACAAAACAUUUACAAAUCUAUCCACUAGCCAUUUUCAACAACUUAAAAAUCAACUAUAAUUCACUAACCUUGUUAGCUUUGCAAUUGAAUUCCUUUUCAAAAAUUUUCAAGCAUGAAAAUUUGGAGUUAACUUAAGAAAAGUUAUGGAGGUUUCAAAACAAGCUUCCAUAGAAGAUGAAAGAAAUGUGAGAUCGGAGGAAGAAGAAGAAAAAGAAGCUACUGGAAAAUGAUAUUUAUAGCUAAAGCUUAUCCAAACUCCACUUAAAUUACGAAAAUGCCCUUAACAAGUUGGAUUUGUCUUCCUCCAAUCCUUUGUGCAAUCUUUUUACUCUUUUGACACUCAGACAAAGUCCAUAAUAGUCUAGAAAUACUCGGGUUCAUGAAAACUUAAAAAUUUUGACUCGAGAUGAAAAAUGACCAUUUUGCCCCUACAUAAGAAAUCAUCAGUAUUUCUAUUUUCUUUGUCAUUUUAUCCUUAUUUUCAUCAUUCAUUUAUGCCUUAGGCCUUAAUAAUGUUUGAAAGCAUACUUCUAGGUGCUCACUAAAGAAAUGACGAAAUUAUCCCUAGUCCGUGAUAUCGUGUCUACUUCUAGCUACGAGUCUAUAAAGAUCAAGGUCUCACAAAUGAUACCAAUACUUUUGUUGUUGGUAGUUGAAUCAAUCCUUAUAUAACCCAUACUUUGGGCAUUACCUCCCACUUAGGGAUUAGGAAAGCACAACACGAGUUUUUCCACUUAAUAGUUCUAUAUCAACCUUUUGACACACGAACACAUAUUCAACAACUCAAUACAUCAUCAAUAUUAAGUGAACAUCUUAAAAAACUCAAUAUAGGCAUGAAUAUCACCACAAAGGAAUUGGCAUGUUCACCUUAAUAUCAUAAUUACAAAGUGUGUGGUAUGAUGCCCCACAUUUAGCCCUUGAUCACGUGUGGUAUGAAGCCCCACAUCUAGCUCAAGUAUUCGUGUGGUAUAACGCCCCACAUCUAGCCCUCUUACAGGUGUGGUAUUGAUAUCUUUAUCUUGAUUUUGAAAUGACAAAAUUGAUUUACUUGAAAGAGAUGAAAGAGUUUUCAAAGAUGAAGAAAAUCCCUAAAGAGUUUUGAAGUUGUUUUUAAAUUGAAAGAUAUUUUUAAAUCUUCAAACUCUAAAUUUUCAACUGCAAGAAUUGACCUUUAGAAAAUGAAGAAUCGAUUCUCAAUUAUAUAGAAAGCAAAAUCUCUUUUUCUAUUAUAAGAAAAAUCAAUUCUCAAACAAGUACCUGUCAGUUUUGGAGAAACAGAAUCCACCAGACAAAGCAAGAAUUGACACUAAGAAGUUAACAUGUCGAUUCUGGAAGCUUGAGAGAGAAAAAGUCAAAAACUUGGAGAAGAAGCAAGAGUUGAAAAAUAAAUAAGAUUGGAACGUAAAAUUUGAAGUUUGAAUUUUUGAAUUAGCACUAAACACACAUAAAGAAUCAACACUAAUAGCACAACAUGUUGAUUAUGGGAAAAGAUAAAAAAGUGUAAACUUGGAAUAUGUCAUGAAGAAUCAACACCAGAUGAAGAACAUGUCGAUUCCCAAGAAAAAUAAAAAAAUGUAAAUUUUCCAAAAUUAUGAAAAAUUGACACCAAAGGUACAACAUGUCGACUUUACAAGCACAAAAGACAAAAGUCCAAUUAGCACGAAAUGGAAAGAAAAGUUUUGAAUCCUACUCCAACGGUAAAAAAGGUCCAGGUUUAUAAAUACACAACCAAAGGACAUCAAAAGAGAAAGGAAGAUCGAGAAAGAAAAUUAGAAAAGAAGGAAAAAAUAGGGAAAACAAGAAAAGAAUAUUUUUUUAAAUGGCUAAAAAAGAAAAAUCCUUCCUUUAUUUUGAUAGUGAGUUGACCAUAUUCAAAAAGCAUACCUUUCCUCACUGUAGAAAGUUUUUGAGCUUAAAUACUCCUAUUUCCAACCCUUAUUCUUAAAAAGCUUUCACCUUUAGUGCUCCCAUUGCUUACCAGCCUUCUUUAGAGGCAUAAAGUUCAUACCAUUGUAAUCCAUUAUUGUUUUUGGUUAUACCUCUUAGAAAAAAGUAAAGGGGUUGUGCUUUAACCUUAAAAAGGUAGAGACUUUGUGAAAGGUUGUGCUUUAACCUUGAAAGGCAUUGACGUUGUGAGGUUGUGCUUGCUCCUCUUGAAAAGGUAGUGAUGUUGAGAGGUUGUGCUUGCUCUUUUUCAAAAGGCAGUGACAUUAUGAGGUUGUGCUUGCUCCUCUCGAAAAGGUAGUGCUUGUGAAAGGUUAUGCCUACUCAUUGAAAACAAGUUUAUAAUAGAUUCAAACUCCAUGUGGUAUCAAAGAAGAGGAUGUAGGCAUUGAAGGUCGAACCUCUAUAAAAAUCAUGGCUUUGUUGUUUUUACUUUUCUACACUUUCAUAUUUUCUUAGGCUCUAUUUUUUUAUUCUACUGCAUUGAAGUUUAUUUAUCUCUUUAAUUUGAGAAAAAGAGAAGGUUUUCUCUUGGUAACCAAUUCACCCCUCCUUUUGGUUAAUUUACUUUAAGCUUAUCUCAACUAACAAUUGGUAUUAGAGCAGGUUCUCAAGUUUUGCAAGUCUAACAACCUUUGAGAGAUCUUGAACAAAAGCUUAAAGUAACAACAACGGCAUCCUCGAGCUUCAUUAAUGAAAGAUAAUCUAUGAUGCGACCUCCAUUCAAACGCGAGAACUACCCAUUUUGGAGAAAGAGGUUUGAAAAGUUUAUACAAUCUAUUGAUUUGGAUCUUUAAGAUAUUAUUGUUGAUGGAACUCAUGUUUCUAGCAAAACUAUUGAUGGUGUCAAACGCGUUAAAACAAGAGCUGAAUGGGAUUACAAGGAUAAAAAGCUGAUUUUGUUGAAUCGCAAAGCUAUGACAACUAGCUUGUGUGUGCUCUUAGUGAGAAUCAAUUUAAUAGGGUAUCUACGUGCACUUCAACAAAAGAAAUUUGAGACACAUUAGAAAAUUGCUAUAAAGGCACAAGUCAAGUUAAAGAGUCAAAAAUUAGUAUUCUGAUUCUUGAUUAUGAACUCUUUAAAAUGAAAGAUGAGGAAUCCAUUAAAAUGAAGUUAGCGAGAUUCACCAAAAUUAUAAGAUGAUUGAAAGCUUUAUGGAGAGAAUUUCCUAAUGCUCCAUUAGUGAAGAAAAUUCUCCACUACCUACUAAAGUCUUGGAAACCGAAGGUCACUACCAUAAAAGAAGCAAAGAUCUUAAUGUGUUUAAGCUAGAUGAGCUUCUAAGUUCUUUACUCACUUAUGAGAUGACCUUUAGACAUAAGAAAGAAAGAGAUGAAGCAAUUAGAGAAGAAUAAAACAGAAAAGACUUUGCUCUCAAAGCUGUAAAACAUAGUGAUGAAAAGUUACUUGAAAGUGAUGUUAAAGAAGAUGAUUAUGAUAUGAUGUAGCUUUGUUGACAAGAAACUUUAACAGAUUCUUGAGAAAUAAGUAAAGAGAUAAAAAAAAACCUCUAUUAGAGGGAUAAACAAAGAAAGAACAUGAGAAAAGACAUACCAAAGGAUGGCCAUGGAAAAGAGCAUAUAAUUUGCUAUAAGAAUAAAAAAUCUAGUCAUAUCAUAUAUAAAUGUCCAAAUCUUGAAAAAAGCCAUCCAAAUAACUGCAAAAAGAAAGCCAUGGUAGCUACUUUGAGUGAUAAUGAUGAGUCAUAAAAUGAAGAAAGAAAAAAGAUAGACAAUUCCUACUAUAUGGCAGUUAAUGAUCUCAUGGAUGAAGAUCUUUUGGAAUCUAAUAUGCAAAUAGAUAACUCACAAUGUCUUGAUGUUGGAUGUUUAAGUCAUUCAAUAAUUAUUAAGGAAAAAGUUAUGGAUGUUAAAGGAAAAUGUAGUAAUUCUAUUUCUGAAAAUGGCCACCAUGGCAAAGUUCAAGUACUAGAAGAAGUCACGUCGAUAGACAUAACUCUACUCCCAACAAAGGAAAAUCAACAAUAGAUUUUCCAAAAUUUAACGGUGAAGAUUACCUUCAUUGGAAGAAUUAAAUAAAACUGUUUAUUUAAGGAAAUGAUCAUGAAGUCUAGAGGAUAAUUAAAGAUGGAUCAUGCAAGUUGAUCAGAGAAUUAAAUGAAUGGGAUGGAAGUCACUUAAACAAGCUGGAACUUGAUGCCAAAGCUGUCCAUAUUCUCUUUUUUACACCUGAAGGCAGUGAAUACGGCAAAGUCUCUUCAUGUAACAGUGUCAAAGAAAUAUGGGAAAGACUAGAAGAAUUAUAUGAAUAAAAAGAGCUAGACGAAAAUAAUAGUUCAACAAGAAAUAAUAAGUUAAGAAAGUUUUAACCCUCACAACAAGAUGAUGAAGCAAGCUUUUCAUUCUUAAAUUAGGAAGGGAAGGUAAGAUUCUUAUCCAAUGGAAUGUUUAAAUAUGCUUAUGAAGAAUUUGAGGAGGCUUUUAAAAUAUUAACUCAUAGUUAUGAGAAAAUGAAGUUAGAAAAUGAAGAAAAUACUUUAAAUCAUAAUGUUAAAAAUGAUUUUUUAAGAAAUGCAAAAUUUAAAUUAGAAAAGGAAAAUAAGAGAUUGAAAAUGGAUUUUAAAAUAUGUGAAAAGAAUCUUAAUGAUGUAAGAAAUGAGAAUGAAAAGUAAAGAAAUGCCUUUGAAAAUUACAAAAAGAAAAUUGAUUGGAUAAGUUUCAAAAGUAAAGCCUUGAUUAUUGAUCAUCUUUUAUUGUUGUAACUAACAAAAGGAUCCAAAGAAAAUUGGAUACCAAAAAUCAAGUGAAAACAUGUUUUGCAGGCAAAUCAAAGCUAGAAAGAAUAAAUUUCUGAAAGUUCAAGCUCUUAUUGCGAUCUAGUGAACUCUGAAUCAAAAACUACUAGUUUAUAAAACAUGAGUCUUAUUUGAUUGAUUUUAUGUUGCUUCAAAUAAAUUAGUUUUUUUAUUAUUCUUUUAUGUGAAAACUUGAUUGAAUGCUCGGAGAUGAUAUUAGUCACAUUUUCAUUUCAUGCAUAAACAUCACCUAAAGCUAGAGAAAAUUGCAAGUGGAAUUUAAUUUCUUUCUUGGAAAGCAUCAUAUAUCAGAUUGAAGUUAAAAUCCUCUAUUUUCUAAAAGGUUGUCAAAACUUCAGAGUUCAAAAGACGUCUCUUCAAAUUCUAGAGACACAACCGUUGCAAUCUUAAUCAAAAGUGACAGUUUUGGAAAUGGAAAGGUUGAAACUUUUCAACUCAAUACGUCCUUUUACAGAUUUAUGUAAGGAUUUCACUCAAACCCUUCAAAGCACAAAACACAUAGAAUCAAUCACUCAUCUUCAAAACCUUAGAGUUAAAUCAUAUUUUCUCACAAUGGCACCAAAAAUGCUACAAGAAAAUAUAGAAAAAAACCCUGGUUCAUUAUCCAAGAUGUUGAAAAGUAAAAAAAAUAACUCUCUAGACUGACACUUCUCAUCAGUAAUCAAAAUAAAAGCAUUUGAUGAAGUUUAUGUUUCGAAAAAGGUACGUCAUGGUCGAAUGUUUAUUUUGAUUCAUUUGAAGAAGAAUUUAAAUUGCCAUAAAUUGAGAACUUAAGAGAAAUGGGUUGGUAAUACUUUCUAAGUUUAAAGAAAGGAGUUUAUGAAAACCUUGUCAGAAAUUUCUACUCAAAUGGAAUAACAAUUUUUGUGAGAGAAAAAGACAAGAGUCCAAUUGAUCAUGAUGAUUCCUUUGUCAUUUCUCUUGUUGAUGGUAGUUACAACAUAACUCCUACACUGCUUCAAAGACAUUUAAAAUUGGAACUCAUAAAUGAGAAUUCACUAGUAAUUUUAGGAGAAGGAAAUGACAUUUUUGAAGAAAAGUUAACUGUUGAAUUUCUAGUUGGACCAAUCACCAUUGAGUCUUCCAACAACACUUUUAAAUUGAGUAUUCAUGAUAUAAUUCUACACUUUAUUGUUGUUCACAACAUCAGAACUCCAGGAGCUAAACAUGGAAUUGUGACAACUGAAGAGAUGUGGUUAUGCACCACAUUAAAAAAAGAACACCAAUUAAUCUUGCCCAAAUCAUAUUCAAAGACAUGAAAACAUUGAUUAGAGUAGCAAAAAAUAACCUAGGUUAUGGAAUGGCAAUCUCAAAGCUCAUUAUCAAGUUGACAAUUGACACUUAUGAUGAUAUAACCAAAAGGUAGAAGAAAAGUAAAAUUUUGAGCAAGAAUACUCUUGGGAAAAUGGAAUAUGAGUACAACAUUGAUUUAAACAGUUGGGUUCAAAAGAAAACAGAAUAAAGCUCUAACUCUAACCAACCAAUCGAACCAUAAUCGUGUUAACUUACAUUGCAUUUACAUCACAUUGCAUGUGAAACAUUUUGUUAACAAACUUGGUUAAGUACAUAUGUUUAUUAUUUGUUUUAAUGCUUUAUACUCAUUUUAGAAUUUACUAAAAUAACUCUUUUGAUUAUUCACUUCUGCAACAAUAUUUUUUUAUAUGCAUACUUGUGCUACUAAUGCUUCAUUUUUCCUUAUGGCUUUUAUUGUGAUACUUUAUUUCCAAUUCAUUUUUCAUAUAACAAAAAGGGAGAGAAUAUUUUGAGUAAAUUUGCUAUGCUUAUUGGUUUUUCACUACUAGAUUUUCUUUAUAAUGUUUACAAUUCUUUUUAUGUAAUCACAAUUUCAGAUGGAGAGUUCUUCAAACUUUUAAUGCACAAAUUUAGAGGGAGUUUUUCAAAUGAGCAAAUUUAAUUCUUAAUUCUGUCAAAUCAAAAAGAGGGAGAUUGUUAUCUUUAUUCUAAUUUUGAAAUGACAAAAUUGAUUUACUUGAAGGAGAUCAAAAAAGUUUUCAAAGGUGAAGAAAAUCCUCAAAGAGUUUUGAAGUUGUUUUUAAAUUGAAAGAUUUAAAUCUUCAAACUCUAAAUUUCGACUUGUAAGAAUUGACCUUUAAAAAGUGAAGAAUCGAUUCUCAGCUGUAUAGAAAACAAAAUCUCUUUUUCUAUUAUAGGAAAAAUCGAUUCUCAAAAAAGUACAUGUCGAUUUUGAAGAAAUAGAAGCCACUAGCCAAAGUGAGAAUCAACACCAAGAGUUAUUUGUAGUUUGUAUUUCUGUAUUGGCACCAAACACACUAUUAACUCUAGUAUAUGGACUUAUUUUGACACAUUUUGAGGACUUAAGUAGCUAGGUGUUUGAGAUUUUAAAUUCGAAUUUUAAUAUUUUAAGUGUUUUUCUUAGUUAAGUUUGAUUAUAUGUUGAUUAGUUUAAAUGAAGUUAUUUUAGUUUAAUUUUAUGUUAUUUUGUGUUAAAUUACUUUAAAAAUUUUUAUUUCUGAUUUCUUUUUUUGUUUUUGUAGGAAAUUUGAUGAGAAAGGUUCAUUUGAUGAAAAACCGCACACAUGUGGUGAAGGCUUUAUUUGUACAUGCUACAGUAUUUUGAGGGUAAAUUGAGCUAUAGAAGUCCAAUUGAUGUGAUUCUUGAUCCAUUGAAAAUCUAAGAGACAGGGGUACAACUUUCAUUUCAAUCACUUUGCCUAGUUUGGAUCAGAUUGAUGCAAAAAAUUGCAUUGAAAUAUGCUAGACUAUUGUAGUUCAGCACAAGGCAGUACAUGGAAUGAAGGCCGCGACCUUGAGUUGCUCAAGGGUGCAAUGCCAAGGAGGACAAGGCUGCAGUGCUGAGGAGAGUGUGGCUGCAGUGCUAGUUGAAUAUGCAUCCUCGUAGUGCCACUUGAGAGCACACAGGCGCAGCACUACAAGAAAGGCUACGGCACCAAUAAAGGUAGCACUGUGGCACCACACAGCUUUCCAAAAAUAAACUAUUUUGUUAGAUUUUGAUAAUUAAGGCUUUUGGAGGCUAUUUAGAGAAUUUUUUUUAAAGAGUUUCAAGAGAAUACAGCAAGAAAUAAGAAAACAAGAGAAUUUGAGAGAGAUUUGAGAUCACAAAGUUUCAAUAAUUAGUUUCUUUCUCUAUUUUUG
rnacentral:lncRNA from 1 species